rnacentral:rRNA from 1 species
GACGAACGCUGGCGGCGUGCUUAACACAUGCAAGUCGAACGAAGAGCGAUGGAAGCUUGCUUCUAUCAAUCUUAGUGGCGAACGGGUGAGUAACGCGUAAUCAACCUGCCCUUCAGAGGGGGACAACAGUUGGAAACGACUGCUAAUACCGCAUACGAUCUAAUCUCGGCAUCGAGGAUAGAUGAAAGGUGGCCUCUACAUGUAAGCUAUCACUGAAGGAGGGGAUUGCGUCUGAUUAGCUAGUUGGAGGGGGAACGGCCCACCAAGGCGAUGAUCAGUAGCCGGUCUGAGAGGAUGAACGGCCACAUUGGGACUGAGACACGGCCCAGACUCCUACGGGAGGCAGCAGUGGGGAAUCUUCCGCAAUGGACGAAAGUCUGACGGAGCAACGCCGCGUGAGCGAUGACGGCCUUCGGGUUGUAAAGCUCUGUUAAUCGGGACGAAAGGCCUUCUUGCGAAUAGUGAGAAGGAUUGACGGUACCGGAAUAGAAAGCCACGGCUAACUACGUG